CUGAUUUCAACAGGAAUUUACACUGUAACUGAGCUCUGGCUAACAGUGGAGCAGGAGCUUGUCUGUGUAACCCUUUUCACAAGGAGAAAGAGAGGAGGGAAAUGGACUUUCCAAAGCCAUCGUGGCUUCACAUAAGGCUUUAGAAAAUGGGCCAAAAGAGAUGGCUGUCUAUUAACUUUUUUUUUUUUAAACUGAAUUGCUGCAAGGCAAUCUGUUGUGAUGAAUCAGAUUUGCUACUUAGUAUGCUAAAGAUGCUUGGGACCCAGAAGUGGAAAGGCACUUUUCUAUAGGCUGUGCAUCCCAGACCUUUGUGAGCUGUCUUUUUGCUUGGAGGAGGAAAAAGACCUGUCCAGUCGGUCUUUUUGCUAUUCUACUGUCAGCUGUUUCUCUGCUUUCACAAAGCCUUGAUCCUGAAGUUACCACUGACUUCUGUAAAGUAUCUUCUUGGCAGGUAGUCUGCAGCCAGUAUUUGCCAGCUAUUAAACGUUCAUUGGACUAUGAUUUGAAUUGCUCUCCAGACUGGAUGGGAGGGAUGUAUUUACAAAGCAAAACUCACAGCUGGCAGGUAUGGGUCUGCAGCUUUCAGGAUCCCACCAGCCAUCCAAGUCCUUCAUCUUCUCUGGACAUGCAAAAUCUUGUAUACUCCCUCAAGGCAAAGGUCCUUAUAUGCACCCUCUUCCCCCGCCCCACCGGCUGACAUGGGAACAGCCUGUGAUAGGCACUGCUACUGGAUGCUAUUGUACCCAAAUGGUGUCGGUAUAUGAGAAAAGCAAGGCCUACACAACCCUGCCAGCCUCAAACAACACCCUCUUUCUUCGCAUUAGAAAUGGAAACACGUCCUCUGCAGGAAUUUUCCACUUAAUAGCUCCUGCUUUCCUACCGGGGGCCUCAGUGCACCACCACUGCAAUGCUGUAUUUCUUUCCACUGCAGCUUGA
rnacentral:lncRNA from 1 species